CCUGGUGGCUCAGAUGGUAAAGAAUCUGCCUUCAAUGCGGGAGACCUAGGUUCUAUCCUUGCAUCAGGA
rnacentral:tRNA from 1 species